CUCACGCUAUGCAUGAGUACCUCCAGCGUCGCGAAAUCCCAAUAGGAAAGCUCUAAAUAAUGCUUUCCUAUGGGGAGGUCUAAUGCGCGCACCGCCAUUGCUGCGCAUUAGGUCUUUGCUGGGGGAGGAGCAUGGGCAGAGCCUGACCCAGCGUCAAGGGAUAUAGGUGCUGGAUUCAGGUAAGUCACUGAAGGAGUUUUAACCCCUUUAG